GUUUGACAAAAUGUGCUGAUUUUUCACGUGUGAUAGCAGAACUGAAUUGGGCAUGCACAGGAUGAGUCACAUCAUUUGAAACUUAGCCCUGAUUGGAGAAAUUGGAAGUGUUACAACUGACCCACGUUACAACUAUCCCCGGUCUCCCCUAAUAAGAGGGGCACUGAAAUUCGGGAUUGUCCGAGAAAAAACGGGAGGGUUGGCAUGUAUUGCCUUGCAUUGCCUGUAACGUUAUUAUGAUGUACAGGUUUUAUGAGUGAACUUGACUUUAAGUGACUUACAGGUUUCUUUGAAAAAUACUUUCUUAUAUCCAGGUUCUUUUUGCUGCCAUCCUCCUCUCCUGCUCGCAGCGCAGGAUUGCCGCUGCUAAAACUAAACAGAGCUCCCUGAAAGGCACAGCCAAUCACAUUGGCCAUAUUUGUCACAUGAUAUAGGACUCCAGUAGAGAACGUAAUUUAACUCUUUCUGCACCGCUGGGUGAAUGAGACGUUGACAGAUCGCUUUUUUUUUUUUUUUUUAAAUUUCUAUCGGUUUUGUUUUUCUUUACUCGAAGAGAUCAAAUUAUUGGUGGGGACAAUUCAAUAAUCGCUGGAUAUUGGUGGGGACAUGUCCCUUCCGUCCAUGCCAAAUCUACGCCCUUGCACUGCACCCAAGUCUUAAUCAGAAUAAUAUGUGCACACUGCUCUACAAUUCCUAUCAGUCAUUUCUUAUAUCAAAAGCAUAUUUAUUUUUCUUCAGCGUCCUCUCAUUUAUUAGAAUUGCCACACUGUUUUCAGAGAGAAAUGCGUGAAACCUGCUCUAACACUUUGUUUUUCAGUCACUAUGUUCUGCUCUUGGCAUAAUGGUUGUUUUUACUGAUGUGAACUGGCUGAAUCUUUGUAUAUGAAUUCAAAUGUAUUAUUAAUGGCGACAUUGCAGUAAUUUCCCUAAAUUAGUCCAUCUCAUAGAAUAUAAGUAAAAUACAACUUAUUUUCUUAUAUUUUACUGCACUGAUCCAGUGUAACCCAGUAACCUCCUGCCUGUUUAAGUAAAAAGUUAGAAGCACCCAGUGUAAAGCCAAAAGUUACCUUGGAUCAGACUAAAUUCUGGUUGGCAGUAUAAGCUUCAGGUACUUCUAUCAGAAGUCAUAUCAUCAAUAAACACUUAUUAAAAAGCUGUUAGCCAUGACUGAUCAAUGUCAUC
ensembl:lncRNA